GCUAUCCCAGUAAGUAUUGGAGGUCGUCUGGAUGUUGAUACAAAUUUUGGCAUUAGAAAAGCUUUUCUUCCUCAGGUAUAUUGAGAUGAUUUCUUUGGAGCAAUUCUUGACAACAUUUGUAGUUGAGGCCUUUAGAAUGGAAGAAUGUAUUUCACUAAUUUUUGUAUACAUUUCUUGUUUUGUAUUUAGUGAUAAAGGAAUCUGAAUUGGGCAUAAAUUAUGUUGUAAUAUGAUUUCUUAAGUCUAGACUAGUAGACUAAAUAUUGUAAUUACAUUUGAGUAAUUAAUAAAAAUCUAUUUAUGUUA